rnacentral:rRNA from 1 species
UACGUAGGGGGCUAGCGUUGCUCGGAAUCACUGGGCGUAAAGCGCACGUAGGCGGCUUUCUAAGUCAGGGGUGAAAUCCUGGAGCUCAACUCCAGAACUGCCUUUGAUACUGGAGAGCUUGAGUCCGGAAGAGGUGAGUGGAACUGCGAGUGUAGAGGUGAAAUUCGUAGAUAUUCGCAAGAACACCAGUGGCGAAGGCGGCUCACUGGCCCGAUACUGACGCUGAGGUGCGAAAGCGUGGGGAGCAAACAGG